GAGUGGGCAUGUUUUAAAUGCCACCAGGCAGCGGAGAAAGCCCUGAAAGCCGCUCAGUACACAAUGGACGCCGACAAGACUAGUGUCCACAACUUGGUCCAGAAUUGCAACGGCUUGAAUGACUCAGAGUUAACCGAAUUGGCUUGGCAGUUGGAGGUUCUUGUUGGCGAUUCAACACGCAUGCGCUAUCCAGAUCGGAUGCAUUUUCCUCAGAUUCCAAACGACGUUUACUCGGCCCAAAUGGCUCAACAAGCCUUGCAGCUUGCCAAGAAGAUCGUCGAGCGUGUUAAAGACCGGAUUUCUUAAGGCUGUGACAGAAACGUGCCACUGGAAAGAUUCAAGCAGGGGUGCGCAUGCAUUUCUCACAGUGAUGACCAAUCUUCAUACUCAUGUGUACAGCAGUGGACGAUUUAAACUUUAUCGAACAAUAAAGCUUCGAAGUAAACCAGUAGAUUUAAGGACAGUGAUUGAUGUAUCGAAGUGCUCAUAUAGCCAAAUUCAAACCCAAGUACGAUUUUUAGCGUGGAGUUCUCGUCUCCGGUAGUGCAUGUUUUUUUAUAUCUCGUUAUCUACCGUUAGAAACUUCGCUUUUAGUGUUCAAAUUAACCAAACAGUCAGAGGAGAAUUCCAGUCAGUAUUAUAACCAUAGUUUGCGUUAAUGUCGCGGCAACACCGCCUCUCGUCCCCUUUCUCUUAUGAGCGUUUGUAGCUUGGUUUCAGUUAUGUUCUAAAGUCAAAGACAACUUACCUUUUAUUAAGCCUUGCUCCAAGUAAAUUAAGAGUCAUUUUGUUGGGAUAUUAAAGGGACACUAUCACCAUUUUUAGUAUGAUUUUUAAAGUCUCAAAAACAUAUCCAGUCGAUCAUUGGAAGCUGAACAAUAAUGGUUUUAUUUUGUAGAGCAGCACUCGACAAAUAAUUAAAACCCAUUAGGAAGUCAGGAUGGAUAACGAUGGCGAGGAUGGAAACGGAUUGCGAUAUGGAUUUUUGAAAAAAGGUCGGGAUGUCAGUUUUUAAAAGGUUCAAGUUUAGUCUGAAAAUUGUUGAAAUUUUGCAAAAAUGUUGCUGCAUUGUGGACUUUCUUCACGAAAUUGAUUUUAAUCAUUUACUUAGAGCUAAUUAAGUUCUUAUUACUUAAAUUUAGGGGCCAUUUCGUGAAUUUAUAACAGUUUAAAGGAAAUAUAUCUUGACAGUGUUCCUUCAAAUACAAUAUUCAAUAGGUCGUUUUGCCUUUGUAAGUGUAGAGCUUUUUCACCAACCAGAGGACCCCUUUAGACGUUCCCAUUUGCUACUAUACCUUUCAAUCACAGGCUAGGCAAAAACUGAGCUGUUAGUCUACGUGUAACCUCAGUUAUAUCGUCAGUUUCAAGUCAGGUAUACACUUAGGCGCGUCAUCCUAUAUAAGCGAUAGACUUGUUCGUUCUAGUUGAAAACACGAGUCCUCUCAUGUUUAUUCGUUGUAGAUGUAGUUUGUCUCGUACUUAUCAGUGUAAAACUGAGACAAGUGAAAGGUAAUUGCGUGAUUUUAGUAGUCAUUAUACACCUGCUCAAAACUAGUUUGCAGGCGUGCCACUCGAAUAGGGAAAACAGAUAGAUGAGAAGAGUAAUAUGGCUUUUUAGUCCGGUUGACGUUGUACAAUUGCGUUCAAAUUUUUCAUCCGAAUACUAAAGUAGACGUAUUUUAACAGUAGUCGAUGUUUUAGAAAUGCACACUUAUCUCUUUUUGUUCUUUUGUUAGUUCUAUAAUCGAUUUAUCGCAUUUUUAUUUCGUGGGGGGAUAUAUAGAUCAGUUUUGUUGAAUAGAAGCUAGUAUGUUUGAUUAUUGUCAGACUACUUUUAAACCAGUUUCACAUGUAGUCUGCAGAACAAAGCAAAUGUUUGACAACACAAAUCAGAGACUGCUUUUCAUAGAGAUUCUUAUAUUAUUAGACUGUGUUCAUGAAGUUCAUGAUUAAGGAACAAAAACCUCCGUUCCUGUGAUAUACAAAUGUGUCAGAAUAAAGUGACGUGAGACAGGA